rnacentral:rRNA from 1 species
CGAACGGGUGAGUAACGCGUGGGUAUCUACCUUUAAGUCCGGGAUAACUUUCCGAAAGGAAAGCUAAUACCGGAUAAGCUCCUUCGGGAGCAAAGGCGGCUUUGCCGUUACUUAAAGAUGAGCCCGCGUCCCAUUAGCUAGCUGGUGAGAUAACAGCUCACCAGGGCAACGAUGGGUAGCCGGCCUGAGAGGGCGAUCGGCCACACUGGGACUGAGACACGGCCCAGACUCCUACGGGAGGCUGCAGUGGGGAAUCUUCCGCAAUGGGCGAGAGCCUGACGGAGCAACGCCGCGUGGGUGACGAAGGCCUUCGGGUCGUAAAGCCCUGUCUUCAGAGACGAACAGUCCGGUUGUGACAAACAGCUGGAUUUGACGGUACCUGAAGAGGAAGCCCCGGCUAAUUACGUGCCAGCAGCCGCGGUAACACGUAAGGGGCUAGCGUUGUCCGGAAUUACUGGGCGUAAAGGGUGCGCAGGCGGUCUUGCAAGUCAGAGGUGAAAGCCAUCGGCUUAACCGAUGAAGUGCCUCUGAAACUGUGGGACUUGAGGGUAGGAGAGGAAAGCGGAAUUCCCGGUGUAGUGGUGAAAUACGUAGAGAUCGGGAAGAAUACCAAUGGCGAAAGCAGCUUUCUGGCCUGACCCUGACGCUGAUGCACGAAAGCCAGGUUAGCAAACGGGAUUAGAUACCCCGGUAGUCCUGGCUGUAAACUCUGGACACUGAGUGUUGGAGGUUAAACUCCUUCAGUGCUGCAGUUAACGCGUUAAGUGUCCCGCCUGGGGAUUACGACCGCAAGGUUGAAACUCAAAGGAAUUGACGGGGGCCCGCACAAGCGGCGGAGCAUGUGGUUUAAUUCGAUGCAACGCGCAGAACCUUACC